rnacentral:rRNA from 1 species
UGGGGAAUUUUGUGCAAUGGGCGAAAGCCUGACACAGCGACACCGCGUGAACGAAGAAGCCCUUUGGGGUGUAAAGUUCUGUCAGCUGGAACGAAAAAAAUGACGGUACCAGCAGAGGAAGCAUCGGCUAACUACGUGCCAGCAGCCGCGGUAAGACGUAGGAUGCAAGCGUUGUCCGGAUUUAUUGGGCGUAAAGAGUUCGUAGGCGGUUCGUUAAGUCUGAUGUUAAAGAUCAGGGCUCAACCCUGGGAGUGCAUUGGAUACUGGCGGACUGGAGUGUGGUAGAGGCUAGUGGAAUUCCCAGUGUAGCGGUGAAAUGCGUAGAUAUUGGGAAGAACACCGGUGGCGUAGGCGACUAGCUGGGCCAUAACUGACGCUGAGGAACGAAAGCCAGGGGAGCGAAUGG